UUAAGCGACUAAGCGUACACGGUGGAUGCCCUGGCAGUCAGAGGCGAUGAAGGACGUGCUAAUCUGCGAUAAGCGUCGGUAAGGUGAUAUGAACCGUUAUAACCGGCGAUUUCCGAAUGGGGAAACCCAGUGUGAUUCGUCACACUAUCAUUAACUGAAUCCAUAGGUUAAUGAGGCGAACCGGGGGAACUGAAACAUCUAAGUACCCCGAGGAAAAGAAAUCAACCGAGAUUCCCCCAGUAGCGGCGAGCGAACGGGGAGCAGCCCAGAGCCUGAAUCAGUGUGUGUGUUAGUGGAAGCGUCUGGAAAGGCGCGCGAUACAGGGUGACAGCCCCGUACACAAAAAUGCACAUGCUGUGAGCUCGAUGAGUAGGGCGGGACACGUGGUAUCCUGUCUGAAUAUGGGGGGACCAUCCUCCAAGGCUAAAUACUCCUGACUGACCGAUAGUGAACCAGUACCGUGAGGGAAAGGCGAAAAGAACCCCGGCGAGGGGAGUGAAAAAGAACCUGAAACCGUGUACGUACAAGCAGUGGGAGCCUCUUUAUGGGGUGACUGCGUACCUUUUGUAUAAUGGGUCAGCGACUUAUAUUCUGUAGCAAGGUUAACCGAAUAGGGGAGCCGAAGGGAAACCGAGUCUUAACUGGGCGUUAAGUUGCAGGGUAUAGACCCGAAACCCGGUGAUCUAGCCAUGGGCAGGUUGAAGGUUGGGUAACACUAACUGGAGGACCGAACCGACUAAUGUUGAAAAAUUAGCGGAUGACUUGUGGCUGGGGGUGAAAGGCCAAUCAAACCGGGAGAUAGCUGGUUCUCCCCGAAAGCUAUUUAGGUAGCGCCUCGUGAAUUCAUCUCCGGGGGUAGAGCACUGUUUCGGCAAGGGGGUCAUCCCGACUUACCAACCCGAUGCAAACUGCGAAUACCGGAGAAUGUUAUCACGGGAGACACACGGCGGGUGCUAACGUCCGUCGUGAAGAGGGAAACAACCCAGACCGCCAGCUAAGGUCCCAAAGUCAUGGUUAAGUGGGAAACGAUGUGGGAAGGCCCAGACAGCCAGGAUGUUGGCUUAGAAGCAGCCAUCAUUUAAAGAAAGCGUAAUAGCUCACUGGUCGAGUCGGCCUGCGCGGAAGAUGUAACGGGGCUAAANGAAGGUGUGCUGUGAGGCAUGCUGGAGGUAUCAGAAGUGCGAAUGCUGACAUAAGUAACGAUAAAGCGGGUGAAAAGCCCGCUCGCCGGAAGACCAAGGGUUCCUGUCCAACGUUAAUCGGGGCAGGGUGAGUCGACCCCUAAGGCGAGGCCGAAAGGCGUAGUCGAUGGGAAACAGGUUAAUAUUCCUGUACUUGGUGUUACUGCGAAGGGGGGACGGAGAAGGCUAUGUUGGCCGGGCGACGGUUGUCCCGGUUUAAGCGUGUAGGCUGGUUUUCCAGGCAAAUCCGGAAAAUCAAGGCUGAGGCGUGAUGACGAGGCACUACGGUGCUGAAGCAACAAAUGCCCUGCUUCCAGGAAAAGCCUCUAAGCAUCAGGUAACAUCAAAUCGUACCCCAAACCGACACAGGUGGUCAGGUAGAGAAUACCAAGGCGCUUGAGAGAACUCGGGUGAAGGAACUAGGCAAAAUGGUGCCGUAACUUCGGGAGAAGGCACGCUGAUACGUAGGUGAAGUCCCUUGCGGAUGGAGCUGAAAUCAGUCGAAGAUACCAGCUGGCUGCAACUGUUUAUUAAAAACACAGCACUGUGCAAACACGAAAGUGGACGUAUACGGUGUGACGCCUGCCCGGUGCCGGAAGGUUAAUUGAUGGGGUUAGCGGUAACGCGAAGCUCUUGAUCGAAGCCCCGGUAAACGGCGGCCGUAACUAUAACGGUCCUAAGGUAGCGAAAUUCCUUGUCGGGUAAGUUCCGACCUGCACGAAUGGCGUAAUGAUGGCCAGGCUGUCUCCACCCGAGACUCAGUGAAAUUGAACUCGCUGUGAAGAUGCAGUGUACCCGCGGCAAGACGGAAAGACCCCGUGAACCUUUACUAUAGCUUGACACUGAACAUUGAGCCUUGAUGUGUAGGAUAGGUGGGAGGCUUUGAAGUGUGGACGCCAGUCUGCAUGGAGCCGACCUUGAAAUACCACCCUUUAAUGUUUGAUGUUCUAACGUGGACCCGUGAUCCGGGUUGCGGACAGUGUCUGGUGGGUAGUUUGACUGGGGCGGUCUCCUCCUAAAGAGUAACGGAGGAGCACGAAGGUUGGCUAAUCCUGGUCGGACAUCAGGAGGUUAGUGCAAUGGCAUAAGCCAGCUUGACUGCGAGCGUGACGGUGCGAGCAGGUGCGAAAGCAGGUCAUAGUGAUCCGGUGGUUCUGAAUGGAAGGGCCAUCGCUCAACGGAUAAAAGGUACUCCGGGGAUAACAGGCUGAUACCGCCCAAGAGUUCAUAUCGACGGCGGUGUUUGGCACCUCGAUGUCGGCUCAUCACAUCCUGGGGCUGAAGUAGGUCCCAAGGGUAUGGCUGUUCGCCAUUUAAAGUGGUACGCGAGCUGGGUUUAGAACGUCGUGAGACAGUUCGGUCCCUAUCUGCCGUGGGCGCUGGAGAACUGAGGGGGGCUGCUCCUAGUACGAGAGGACCGGAGUGGACGCAUCACUGGUGUUCGGGUUGUCAUGCCAAUGGCACUGCCCGGUAGCUAAAUGCGGAAGAGAUAAGUGCUGAAAGCAUCUAAGCACGAAACUUGCCCCGAGAUGAGUUCUCCCUGACUCCUUGAGAGUCCUGAAGGAACGUUGAAGACGACGACGUUGAUAGGCCGGGUGUGUAAGCGCAGCGAUGCGUUGAGCUAACCGGUACUAAUGAACCGUGAGGCUUAACCUU
rnacentral:rRNA from 1 species